rnacentral:rRNA from 1 species
AAGCAAAGACCGCGAGGCGGAGCGAACCUCGAAAAAGUAGUCCCAGUUCAGAUUGCAGGCUGAAACUCGCCUGUAUGAAGUCGGAAUUGCUAGUAAUCGCGGAUCAGCAUGCCGCGGUGAAUACGUUCCCGGGCCUUGUACACACCGCCCGUCACACCAUGAGAGUUGGCAACACCCGAAGUCAGUAGCCUAACCGCAAGGGGGGCGCUGCCGAAGGUGGGGUUGAUGAUUGGGGUGAAGUCGUAACAAGGUACC